rnacentral:rRNA from 1 species
GACGAACGCUGGCGGCGUGCUUAACACAUGCAAGUCGAACGGAAAGGCCCCUUUGGUGGUACUCGAGUGGCGCACGGGUGCGUAACACGUGAGUAACCUUCCCUUGCCUUCGUGAUAACUUCAUUUAACUGGGGCUAAUACCGGAUAGGAAUCCUUUCUUCAUGGUUGUGGUUGGUAAGCUUCGGCGGUUUUUGAUGGACUGGCUGCUUAUCAGCUUGUUGGUGGGGUAGUGGCUUACCAAGGCUUUGACGGGUAGCCGGCCUGAGAGGGGGACAGGCCACAUUGGGAAUGAGAUAAGGCCCAGACUCCUACGGGAGGCAGCAGUGGGGAAUAUUGAAAAAUGGGCGGAAGCCUGAUGCAGCAACGCCGCGUGCGGGAUGACGGCCUUAGGGUUGUAAACGGCAUUCAGCAGGGGAGAAGCUUGUGGUGACGGUACCUGAAGAAGAAGCACCGGCUAACUACGUG